UGGGGAAUAUUGCACAAUGGGCGCAAGCCUGAUGCAGCAACGCCGCGUGAGGGACGACGGCCUUCGGGUUGUAAACCUCUUUUAGUAGGGAAGAAGCGAAAGUGACGGUACCUGCAGAAAAAGCACCGGCUAACUACGUGCCAGCAGCCGCGGUAAUACGUAGGGUGCAAGCGUUGUCCGGAAUUAUUGGGCGUAAAGAGCUCGUAGGCGGUUUGUCGCGUCUGCUGUGAAAACCCGAGGCUCAACCUCGGGCCUGCAGUGGGUACGGGCAGACUAGAGUGCGGUAGGGGAGAAUGGAAUUCCUGGUGUAGCGGUGGAAUGCGCAGAUAUCAGGAGGAACACCGAUGGCGAAGGCAGUUCUCUGGGCCGUAACUGACGCUGAGGAGCGAAAGCGUGGGAGCGAACAGGAUUAGAUACCCUGGUAGUCCACGCCGUAAACGUUGGGCGCUAGAUGUGGGGACCAUUCCACGGUUUCCGUGUCGGC
rnacentral:rRNA from 1 species